UCAUGAUCAUAGAUAAUAGGGAAUAGAAUAUCAAGAUAAUUAUUGAUUUUCUAAAACUGUCAUAGCAUAAUAGGCAAUAGGAUAUUAUGACAAUCAUUGAUUUUCUAAAACUAUCAUAGCAUAAUAAGCAAUAGGAUAUCAGGUUCAAAUAGGUGUAGACAAGACUAAAAUUUAUAUUCUUAGGUCUUGACUUUCUCCAGCUAUAAACAACUAUAAAUCUUGCAAAAAUUUUUCACCGC
rnacentral:lncRNA from 1 species